rnacentral:lncRNA from 14 species
GUCCUCGCGGCACGCUGAGGGGAGGUGGCGGUCGGUGGCGCCGUGAGGGGCGGGGGGCGGAGCCACAGCUCCUGUUGGUGUCUCCGUCCGCCCGGCUGGGGCAGCAGCUCCCGAGGGAGCAUAACCGAGAGUUCUGGGUGGCGGUAAACGGGGCACGGAACAGAAGCCGUGAGGUAGAGUGGUUGAAUUCCGUGUGCUGGAGCAGUGUGCUGCGCCCGGGGCGCGGGAACGGGCGAGAGGAGAGUCAGAAACCAGAGCGGGACCUGGUGAGCAGUCAGAAUCCAAUAUGAAGUGUGGAUGAAUCACGCCAGGAAAAUAUGUUUAACAAAUAUGUUGACUCCCACUUAAAUCAACCUCCCCUCCAGCAGGCGAUUUAAAUGGUUGUGAGGCUUCACUGGGAGCUACACAGGGAACUUCUCUGACAGUGAUGAAACACCUUCUGUAGGGCAAGAGAAAUAUCUGGGAAAAUAAUGUUAUUGUUGCCUUGAGAAACUUUGCCUAUGGAAAAUAUCAAGAUAAUUCAUCUCAAUUAAUAAAAGUACCUCUAUGUUUCA